AUUAAAUUAAAAAGUUUUUUAAGACAAUUAAAUGAUAAUCAAAAAGAUAUACCUGAAAUGCAUACUAAUGCGACUGCUGGUAUUGGUAUAAAUAAACAACAAACACAUGAACAUAAUGAUAUUAAAAGUGUAUCAUAUAAUGCGGAUGUUAGUAAACUAUUAAAACUAUUUCAUGAUACUAAUAAUGUUAAUAAAAAGAAUAAAAUAGAUGACCUGGUGGUUAGUGAAACAAAUGAAAAUUUGGAUGACUUUGUUAAUAAGAUUAUUAGUGGUAGUGGUACAAAUGGGGUUAAUGAUAACAGUAUACAACACAAUGUAUAUAAUAACAAUAUGGAUAAAUAUAAUACUAUAAUUAAAAAUAAUAUCUAUUACAAUGAUAAUAACAAUAAUAAAAAUAUGAUUGGAACAACACCUUUACAGAUGCAUAUAUUUGAUAAGGAACAACAUAUAAAUGAACAAAAAAAAAAAAAAAAAAUGUUUACAACUACUGCUACUAUUAAUAAUAUAGGUAGUAAUUAUAUUAUGGGUAGUGAUAACAAUAACCACAUUAGUACUAAUAGGAGUCAUAUGAGCAGUAAUAAUAGUAAUAGUAUUAAAAAUGAUCUUUUUGAUAUAUAUAAUAAUGUUGAUAAAAUAAGAAUGCAACAUGUUGGUAGUAACGGAUUAAAUACUUAUGAGUAUACAAGAGCACAUGUGACUAAUAAUAUCAAUGGAAACGUUCGUAAUACCGACCCAAUACACUUUCAAUAUGUGAGUAGUAACAAGAGUAGCAGUAAUAAUAGAAAUAUGUUAAUAAAUGGUAACAACAACAACAACGGAUUUUUUAGUAACGACGAAACUAGUAGGGACUGUAACGACGCCAGUAUAAACAAAAAGAACCACACCAACAAAAAGGAUAUUAACAAACAUGAUAUUAACAAAAACGAUAUUAACAAAAACGAUAUUAACCAAAACGAUAUUAACCAAAACGAUAUUAACCAAAACGAUAUUAACCAAAACGAUAUUAACAAAAACGAUAUUAACAAAAACGAUAUUAACAAAAACGACAUUAACAACAACAACAUUAACAACAACAACAUGAGAAACAACAAUAAUGACGACAUGGGAGAACAAAUAGAAUAUAUGAAAAGAAUAAAUAAAAUAAAAGGUGAUGUAUGGCAAUAUAAGGAUUUGUCAGGAAACAUACAAGGACCCUUUUCGUCAGAACUGAUGUUUUUUUGGUGGUACUCAAAUUACUUUCCUUGUGACAUACCUAUUCGAUUUAAUACUACUAUGCCCUGGGUUAACUUCAAUGAAUUAUUUCCAAUUGGUUUUUUCCCAUUUGUUAUGCCUUUAACUCCUUGGAACGAUAAAAGAAAUAAUUUAAACAUAAAUAUGUACAGUAUGAUUCAAAAAAAGAAUACAUUUUCGUCGAAUGGUAUUAAUAGUAAUAAUGAGGAGGUGCAUAAUUCUAAUGGAUUAUAUAACAAUGAUAUGUAUAUAGAUAGAAACAGGUUGAAUGGUGUUAGUACUCUUGACACUAACAAUGAUACUACGAAUACUGGUGUUGUGAAUAAUGACAUAAGUAACAACCGUUUUUACGAUCACACUAUUAUCCCUAAUCAACAAUCACCAGAUAAAACCGAAACAAAUGAAAAUAUGAACAAUGUAAUUAGCGCAAACAAUUCUAAUAGCGCAAACAAUUCUAAUAGCGCAAACAAUUCUAAUAGCAUAAACAAUUCUAAUAGCAUAAACAAUGAUGAGUCGUAUAAAACAUCAUCACAAUACAAUCAUGGUUUUAUUCAGUUGUUAAUAGAAAAAAAAACAUUGUUUGAAAAUUUAUUANNNNNNNNNNNNNNNNNNNNNNNNNNNNNNNNNNNNNNNNNNNNNNNNNNNNNNNNNNNNNNNNNNNNNNNNNNNNNNNNNNNNNNNNNNNNNNNNNNNNAAAAAAAAAAAAAAAAAAAAAAAAAAAAAAAAAAAUGUAGAUCACCAAACUGUCGAAAAUCAAUUAAAUGUCACUAAUAGCAGUUUUGAUGGAAAUAACAGUAACAACAUAAACACAGAUAUUUAUAAUUUGCCUAAUGGUCAAAACACAGACACACAAACAAAUGAGUUAAAGGAACUUUUAAAAAACAGUAAUGAAAAUAAUAAUAAUGAUAUUAACAAUAGUGAUAAUAGUAACAACGUUGUAGAAGUAAAUAUUACCGCAACUACUGAUAGGAGUAACACGGAUAUUACUAUAAAAACAAUGUAUGAUAAAGAUAACAAAAACAUAAAUCAUGUUCAUGACUUGAUUAAUAACAAUAUUGAUAAGUCAUACAUAGGUGAGAAUGUUGAUAACCUGAAUAGUGUACUAAAUCAUAGCAGCACUACAGACUUAAGUAAUACUGGUAGUGGAAAUAGUGAUGAUAGUAACAGAAAUUGUAAGGCAUCUUCUAAAAACGAUAUAACAAGUAUAAACGAUAAUAUCAAAAACUUAAACGACAACCAAAGUGUUGAACAAAAAAAAAAAAAAAAUAACAGAAUCUAAAGAAUAUGAUGAUAAUAAACCUGAUAGUAAAGAAACA
ensembl:lncRNA